rnacentral:rRNA from 1 species
AUGGCAGAAUGCUUCAAUAAGGUGCUCAAGGGUGUACAUGCAUUACCCGUGACGGCAAUAGUUCAAUACACAUUUGACAAGUUGAAUGAAUACUUUUUAAAGCACUCAAUGGAGACUGAUAAGCAGAUUGCUGGUGAGAACAAGGAUAAGCACAAGUACAAUUUCCCACCAAAGGUCGAAGAAUGGUUGGAAUUUCAAUCACGAAAGGCAGACUCCGAAGAAGCUGUACUAUAUGAUGACAACGAGUGGAAGUAUGAGGUGAAAGAGCCCGGAGGAACCACAAACGAUGGUCGCCAACACGGAGGCCGGGCUUUCAAGGUCUCCCUAACACGGUGUGAUUGCAGCUGCAUGAGGCCGUCUUUGCUUCAUCUCCCAUGCUCGCACUUGUUAAAUGCAUCCCGGGUUAGGAAUGUGGACGUCAAUCACCCUCUUACCGUGAGGGAGUCCGAGUUCUCAAUCAUGACGGUAAAGAAUACAUGGACUCCACGGUUCCAGCCAUACUUGGACCAAUCACAAUGGCCGGAGUAUCAUGGAGUUCAACUAUGGCCGGACCCG